rnacentral:rRNA from 1 species
ACGAAAGUCUGACGGAGCAACGCCGCGUGAACGAUGAAGGCCUUCGGGUCGUAAAGUUCUGUUGUUAGGGAAGAACAAGUACCGUUCAAAUAGGGCGGUACCUUGACGGUACCUAACCAGAAAGCCACGGCUAACUACGUGCCAGCAGCCGCGGUAAUACGUAGGUGGCAAGCGUUGUCCGGAAUUAUUGGGCGUAAAGCGCGCGCAGGCGGUUUCUUAAGUCUGAUGUGAAAGCCCACGGCUCAACCGUGGAGGGUCAUUGGAAACUGGGGAACUUGAGUACAGAAGAGGAGAGUGGAAUUCCACAUGUAGCGGUGAAAUGCGUAGAUAUGUGGAGGAACACCAGUGGCGAAGGCGACUCUCUGGUCUGUAACUGACGCUGAGGCGCGAAAGCGUGGGGAGCAAACAGGAUUAGAUACCCUGGUAGUCCACGCCGUAAACGAUGAGUGCUAGGUGUUAGGGGUUUCGAUGCCCUUAGUGCCGAAGUUAACACAUUAAGCACUCCGCCUGGGGAGUACGACCGCAAGGUUGAAACUCAAAGGAAUUGACGGGGGCCCGCACAAGCAGUGGAGCAUGUGGUUUAAUUCGAAGCAACGCGAAGAACCUUACCAGGUCUUGACAUCCUUUGACCACUUGAGAGAUCAAGCUUUCCCCUUCGGGGGACAAAGUGACAGGUGGUGCAUGGUUGUCGUCAGCUCGUGUCGUGAGAUGUUGGGUUAAGUCCCGCAACGAGCGCAACCCUUGAUCUUAGUUGCCAGCAUUCAGUUGGGCACUCUAAGGUGACUGCCGGUGACAAACCGGAGGAAGGUGGGGAUGACGUCAAAUCAUCAUGCCCCUUAUGACCUGGGCUACACACGUGCUACAAUGGAUGGUACAAAGGGCAGCGAAACCGCGAGGUUAAGCAAAUCCCAUAAAGCCAUUCUCAGUUCGGAUUGUAGGCUGCAACUCGCCUGCAUGAAGCCGGAAUUGCUAGUAAUCGCGGAUCAGCAUGCCGCGGUGAAUACGUUCCCGGGCCUUGUACACACCGCCCGUCACACCACGAG